AGUUUAUAUUUAUUAUUAUUUAAUUAUUUAGUAUUUUUUAAUUAAAAUAAUUUAUAAUUUAGUACUUUUUAUGGAAAUAUUAAAAUAUAAUGAUAGUUUAUUGUACUGUAAAGGUUAAUUAUUUUAUUAUAGAAGUAUAAUUUAUUUAGUACCUUUUGUAUCAGGGUUUAUUUAUUUUAAGUUAAAUAUUUUACCAACUCCCGAAAUUAAAAGAAAUAAAAUUAAAUGUAAGUUUGUGUAAUAAAAUAAUUUAUUAUUUAAUUUUAGUAAUUAUAUGUUAUUCAGUUUUAAAUAUCUGGUUACUUAAGAAUUAAAUUUAAUUUAGAAGUUUUAUGUUAGUUAAGGAAUAAAUUUAUUUUUUCUUAAUUUAUUACUUUAAGAUUACUAGGGAUUAGCUUAGUUAUUAUUUAUAUAAUUUGUAAAGUUAUUAAUAGGUCUAUUUGUAGGAUUAAAAAUAUCCAUCUUUAAUAAUUUGUUGUAAUUAAGUGAGAUUUAUUAUAUUUUAUUUUUACUAUAUUUAUUUAAAUAUUAAGUAUUAUAAUUUUAUUUUAAAAUUAUAGAUAUAAUGAUAAAAUAAGUAGAUUAUUAAUUUAAAAUUAGGAACUCGGCAAAUUAAGUCCUCGCCUGUUUAACAAAAACAUGUCUUAUAGUUUAUUUAUUUUAAGUCUGGCCUGCUCAAUGAAUAUAUUUUUAAUUGCUAUAGUAUUUUAACUAUACAAAGGUAGCAUAAUAAUUUGUCUUUUAAUUGAAGGCUUGCAUGAAUGGUUGGACGAAGGAUAUUCUUUCUUUUUUUUAAAUUUAAAUUGAAUUUAUAAUUUUUGUAAAAAGACUUAAAUGUAGUUGUGGGACGAGAAGACCCUAUAGAAUUUUAGCUAAUAAUUAAAAAUCCUAUUUUGGUAUUAAUAAAUAGGAUUUUUAAUUAUUAGCUUUUGUUGGGGUGAUUUUAGAAAUUUAUAAACUUCUAUUUAAUAUUUAAUCAUAAAUUAAUGUAUUAAGGAUCCUUUACUAUGGAUUAAAAGAUUAAAUUACCUUAGGGAUAACAGCGUUAUUAUUCUGGAAAGUUCUUAUUGAUGGAAUAGUUUGCGACCUCGAUGUUGGAUUAAAGUUAGUUUUAGGUGUAGAAGCUUAAUAAACUAGGUCUGUUCGACCUUUAAAUCUUUACAUGAUCUGAGUUCAGACCGGCGUGAGCCAGGUUGGUUUCUAUCUACAAUUUUUUUAGUAGUACAGUACGAAAGGACCUAUUACUUUUAAUAUUUAAUAUUUAAAUGAUUUUUAUUAAUUA
rnacentral:rRNA from 1 species